GUAUAAUAUUGUACAACAUUCUUAAACACAUCAAUAGUUGUAAAUUGUGUCAAACACACUUGCGUCACAAAAACACAGAUAAUAGAAAGAUAGAGUUAUUUUAGAGAGAGAGAGAGAAGAGAGAUACGGUGGAAGGACCAUGGUUUCUAGUGGUGAACCCGGCUGCGCACGGCAGCCCUCUCACUUCCGACGCAUAAACGACCGCCAUGGCGGCGGUGAGUUGUAGAGUUGUACUUCAGGUGAAGUCCGGCCAGUCUCCGGCGAAGAUCCGAUCGGGUAUGGAGCUCAUGGCUUGUAUUGGCGGCUAGCGUUCCAGUUUAGGGGUUUUGAAACCAGAUCGUGUUUGGAGACAACCUUCACGAUGUGUUAGUGUUUUGUGCAUAGGGACUUCCAGUUUCACAACCCAAAAUAACCCUAAACGUCGUGAGCGAACCGACCACCAUCGUCCUCCUCUUACGGUUCAUCUUCUUCGUCUUUCCACGACUAUGAGAUACUAUAGUUGGAGAACUUUCGGCCGACAAAGUCAAAUACAAACUCAAAUACAUCGUCGGAAACGCUAAUGUAGUCUACAGGCUCAAAGUAAUCGCACGUGAUAAUAACAUGCCAACAUCUUAGUUACAACAAGAGGCGAUGAGCAGUCUUGCAUAUCCCGUGUUUUCUACAACUUUACAAGAAGCAAGAAAAUGGCGAAGGCUCGAUCAAGAGUAAUGGAUAAACGAAAGAAGGGUGCUGCAUGUGAAAGCACAUUUGGCUUUAGAAAGCGCGCCUGAGGCGCGCCAUCAGGUGCAGAAUGCUACAGUUUACUUAACAAUAGGUGGAUGUUUUCUAGAAAGCAAGAAUUUCUUCGCCUUUUAUGUCGGGUACUGAAUCGAUUAAGCGCGUGCUUUAUUGUCAGUUUGAGCUACAUUACAUGAUUUGGUAUUGUGGAAGUCGAGCUUCGCAAAUCAAAGAGAUGUGGGCUAAAGGAUAAAUGUCUUGAUGAUAUACUGUUAUACUUGCACCAAUCUUGAAGGUUGUUUUAAGUUGUGAAUCAUUUAUUAAUGGAUUGUACAAAUGACGAGCAGACAUACUUAUUGUAUUAUAUGCAUGUUUGCGGAGUCUUGACUGCUGCUCCAUUCCAUGCAAGCCCACCACUCUACUCAUGAGAGAUGGGUUCACUUUACUGUCACUGGUGGUUAGCGGGUUGACACAACAAGGAAGCCUUGAUGCUUGGGUAUGGUUAGAUAUUUAGAUUAGAGCAGUUUAUGUAGUGGUAAGUUGGAUUAGAGGAGGCAGUUUUUUUUUGUUUAAAAUAGCAGAGGUUAGAGAGCAAUUUAUUUUAUUUAUUAUGACAGACAUCUGUUAAUUUUGAUUUUUGUUUAUGACUUUGUAUAAUAAACCAAAUCACAAUAGAGUCACU
rnacentral:lncRNA from 1 species